GCAGUAUAGUCCAAGAGCAGCAGAAUCUCUAGGGAGGACAAAGUCAGAGUCUGGUUUGAUUGUGUCCUCUGUUGACCGAGCCUUUGGUCACGUCUGCUACUUUGACAGCAGGCAGCACUCUGGACCUGGCUGCAGACAUAAUGCUACCCUAAACAGGACCCUGGUAGGCAGGGUUAGUGGCACUGGGGAGGUGUUGUUUGUAGCUAUGGACACUUUAUCAGCAACCCCUGAUAGUCUCAUUUUACCCAUCAGGAUGAACUUGAGCGGGUCAUUCCUGCACCCCUUGGUGCCUGCAAAGAGGUGCACAGUCAUUUGUGCUGAGAUGUGAGAAAUGCAAUUUGUCUGUUAGGUUAGCGAGUAUCUCUCAGAUACAUACACUCCUAUAUCCUAAUGCUUAAUAUGCCUUAAGCCACAGCUACAGUGAAUAAUAGAGAACCACAGUGGCCUUGAGGAGUAGUAGAUGUCCUUUCCUGCCAUUCAUAUUCUUUGGGUAGGGUAAAAGGCUUGAGACAGACUCUCACUAAAUAGCCCUGACUGGCUUAGAGUUCACUAUAUAGACCAUGUGUAGGUUUUGAAGUCCCAGGGAUAUGCCCCUCUCUCUGCCUCCCAAGCACUGGGGUUAGAGGUAUGUGCCACCGUGUCCAGUGAUCCUCAAUUUCUAACCCUUCUUAGACAAAUCAUUUCAUCCCAUAGCCCCAGAGCCAA
rnacentral:lncRNA from 1 species